UUUCAGCUGCAGCUCAGUGAUAGAGCAUCUGCCUUGCAUGUAGAAGGUCUCAGGUUCAAUCCCCAAGUAUGGCUGGGAA